rnacentral:misc_RNA from 1 species
UUGUCUUACAGCAUCAGGGUUCUUAUAACGGCUGAAGCGUUUCACAUAUUGUAGUGACUUUUCAAACACCUGGGAAACUUGAUUCGUUGGAUCCUCAGACAUUUGUUGAAGUUGCUCGUAUUUAUGUUCAAGAAUCAGAGAAACUUCACAAUUCAUUAAACAUUUGGCCUUUAAGAACUCAUCUCCAAUUUUAAGCUCAGCAGCAUUUUCUUCCUCCUCCCCAGACAUGCUUGAAGUUGGAGUUUUGUAUCAACCUAGAGAUGGAGUUUUGCAGGUUAGCGUAGCAGCGAGCUGGCGACCAGGGAGAAACAAAGAAAAUUGACUGCGGGGGCGUAGGGGCGGCCGAUAAUGGAAGUGGUGGAGAAGGGGAAAGGGAGAAAAGAAA